GUUGCACUCGUAGCUACCAAGGACGUUUCUGCAUAGCUGCCCACAGGGCUUCUCGGUCACGCACUCGUCCACAUCUACGAGGAAGUCGAUACGUUUCACGGAAGUGGAUUUAAAAUGGUGGCCAAUUCGACGCGUGUAGCAAGAAGCGAGCGACAGGAUGGUCCUUAAGGCUGUACGCAGAGUUAAGAUGAGCGGCAUGAGAAACUUGAAAAAUAAACUACAACCUACAGACGAUAAUACGCCAUUAGUCUCCACGAUGUCCCCUGAGCCUUCUUCAUCAGUGUCUCCAGGAAUGACCCAAUCGUUACACUGGGAAGUGUACGAGAAGGAAGGCAAAACGAGAGGGAGAAGGAAAGAUGCCGAUACGGAGAGUCCAGCUUGAGUUGGAUAGAAUAAAAUAAAGGAAACUGGCGACCUGGCCGAAAGGUAGGCAGACUGGGAGACUCCGCUUGGCAGAACCACUUCGUCAUCGUCAGGACAUAGAAAAUUGCGUUUCGCCGUGUCCCUGUCAUGUUUGCGGAACGCGACACGACGUUAACUGUCGCAACAACGGAUUCUAUAUACCUACGUGGCCUCCCUCUGACUCAUGGAUACAGCCACGCAGGUAUACCUUUACGUAUGCUGAUACGUGCGAGUCCUGCAACACGUAGAAAUGCACUCUGCCGCUUGCGAAUCGAGUAAAUCGAAACAAAGAGAGCCGAACGUUCACCUUGGCGCGAGCAAUUAAAAGACGGACUUAAAAAUAGAACCGGCAAGCUGGAACGUAAUGAUUCGGCCUCGUUCGAACGGUGGAAAUAGGAAUUAAGGGUGGUGAAUGGCGACAAUAACCGAAAGGAAAGUAAGAAAAAAAAUACGUAGAAAGGAAUACGAGUAAUUUUGAAAAAAAAAAUAUUCACUUACAAAAUACUGCAUUGUUUAUUCGGAUGAUUAUCAGAAAUUUUUUAUACCCUAUCGCAAUAUACAAUAUCUCAUACGUAGGAAAUAGAAAGGAACAGUUUCUACGUUCAACCAUGAUCUACUAACUGCUACAGUGAUAUAUAAUAUGUUUGUCGUGUGUAAAUUGUCAUGAAAAUGUAAUUCAUUAACGUGAAGUCAACGUACUUUCGGACGGCAGUCGAGGAAAACAAGUUCUUUCGGUAUUAGAGCUGUACAUUAUUAACGAGUAUAAUGAAAGUGGGUUAAAGACAUACAGAGAAACUAUUAUUUCGGAUCAAAAGCAUAAUUGAUAACAACAAGCGUAUUGUAUUGCUCUUAAACGCUUAUGCGCAUGCGUACGCAUAAAGUUUUAUAAAAUUUAUUUUUCUCCACUCAAUUUUCCAAUAUUUUCUUUCUAUCUGAGUGCAACGUUUCUUAUUUAAGGAUUAUCUUCUCACAAGUAGCAGCAGAUUAUUAUCCUACGUGAGUACUCGGAAUCUCGACUAUGCAUAUUAUAUGCGCGCACAAGACCCAUCUUGUAAUCUCUGAUGUCCAUCCUCUCGUAGAACGACGAUAUUAUUGUGCCAUCUCGUAUAUUCUUAUCUUCCCACGUAUUCUUGGUGCGCCUCUAUAAUCGGCGCUGUUAAACGGGAGCUUUAGCACGAUCUUUUUCCUGGAGUUCGAAUAACACGUCAAUCUAUAUGCAUAUGCUUUUUGAUUAUGUAUAUCGACGGUGGCGCUGUACGGUACGGCAGUUUCAGGAAAUGCAAUCCAGACCUUUGAAAAUUGAGAAUUUGAGACACGCUCUGGAGGACAAUUGCGUGGGAAUACUGGUUCAGUUGCAAUGCCCAUAGAGCACCGGGUCUCUUGUCGAUAGACAGAGUGAAGGAGAGAUACGUAAAUAAAUGUAGGAAGGUGUGUGUUUAUAUGGGUAUAUAUAUGUAUAUUGUCCAUAUGUACUAUCAUGACACACGAAUAAGUCCACUUAGGAUUUCGCGUAUCUUCGUGACUCGUCCGAUAUGGCGUGUUGUGCUGUGAUAAAUAAAGCCAGUGAAAAAGAAAGAAUUGUGAGAAUGGUCAAUAAAGAGAGAAUUCUUAACGAUCCAGGAGAAACAGAGCAAAUUGCUCGAUGAAUUUUAUGGAGUAUAAUAAACCCGGCGUGAUUUAUUGGGGCGAUUCUAUCGAAUUUAUCGCUGGCACUAACGGUAAUACGUAUAGUAUGUCUCUUUGAAUGAAGGUAUUUGACUUUUCAAAUAAUUAGUUGCGCGUCAAGACGCCUGGAUGGCGCUGUCAACGGUCAAUGGCCGUUUCCAGUUCUCGCAGUGCACGGCGGUACUAAUGAGGAUGCGUACUUCUUUAUUUUCCUGAACUUAACUUAAUCGCAGAUUCGGUGGCGCCGUGAUAAAGACUCUCGGUACUUUCGUACUUGCCAGGCACAUAAAUCAAUUCCUUAAUAAGGUUUAAGUGUAACAAACGUCCCUUCGCAUUAGCCCGGACGUAACCGCGAUAAAGCCUGCAUUAAAUCUCGGCUUAAUGUCGCGAAUGGCAGACACGAUGUUGCGCGCGCAUUCUUACGAAAUAUCGGUACUUGGGCGAUGACUUGUAAAAUAGAAAGUGCACGGAGCACCGGUUUAACUAUAAAUUAAAUGAUUUUUGUAUAAUUAAACAUUUCAAACUAAUGAGAAGAACGGUACGUACGACUUUGUUAUUGCGCCACGACUUAAGGAGGACUGUUUGCUCUUGACGGGAAAUGUAUGUAUAUGCUGUUCGAGUGUUGUCAUCGUGACGG